AACUUUUAUAAAUAAAGAAGAAUUUUCUAUAAAUAUUAUUUUUGAAUAUUAUGGAGUAAGUUUGAUAUAAUGUUAUAGUUGUGGGUAAUAUUUAUAAAUUUUGCAAAGUAAGCAAGUUGUUAUAAAAUAUUCGUUUGGUCGGGGAAUAUUCUUUUUGUCGGGGAAUAUUCGUACGACGGCACAAUCAUUGGUGGACCCCAUAACGGAAUUAUUGUCGGAUUGAAAAAACGACAAAAAUACUUUAUGAAAAUAACUACGGAGGUGUUACCGUUAAAACUGUUGAACUACCCGGUAGUAAAAGUACAGUAAUACGCGUGGUUGCAUAGUAGCACACGGUAUUGAUUAUUGAUGCUUACNNNN
rnacentral:lncRNA from 1 species